AUGCACAACCCUUUGCGGUACAGGACCGCCUUUGCUGUUUCGAGCCUCGUUGGGUGCAUCCCGUGGGAAUUGAUAUGUAACAGCAAUAGCAGUGGAUGUUUCUUCCUUUUGACUAGAGUUAUUUUGAAAGUAAUUAUAUGCUUUGGAUUAUGCGGUAAUGAAUGGUUUCUACUUGCUAUGCUGCUCCGUCUCUUACUGUUGAGUGAUUGGGCAACAAAAUCUCAUUGUUUUACACACACGCGCGCUCACAAGAACAACUACAGCUACGUACAGGCGUACAGCGAGAAGAAGAAACUGAGGGAAACAAGUAAUUAA
rnacentral:rRNA from 1 species